UCAGGAGGAGGAGGUACUGCCUGAACGUCAGGAGGAGGAGGUAGAGCCUGAACGUCAGGAGGAGGAAGUACUGCCUGAACGUCAGGAGGAGGAGGUACUGCCUGAACGUCAGGAGGAGGAGGUACUGCCUGAACGUCAGGAGGAGGAGGUAGAGCCUGAACGUCAGGAGGAGGAGGUAGAGCCUGAACGUCAGGAGGAGGAGGUACUGCCUGAACGUCAGGAGGAGGAGGUAGAGCCUGAACGUCAGGAGGAGGAAGUACUGCCUGAACGUCAGGAGGAGGAGGUACUGCCUGAACGUCAGGAGGAGGAGGUACUGCCUGAACGUCAGGAGGAGGAGGUACUGCCUGAACGUCAGGAGGAGGAGGUACUGCCUGAACGUCAGGAGGAGGAGGUACUGCCUGAACGUCAGGAGGAGGAGGUAGAGCCUGAACGUCAGGAGGAGGAAGUACUGCCUGAACGUCAGGAGGAGGAGGUACUGCCUGAACGUCAGGAGGAGGAGGUACUGCCUGAACGUCAGGAGGAGGA